GACGAACGCUGGCGGCGUGCCUAAUACAUGCAAGUCGAACGCAGUGGGGACGGGAGAGUAACACGUGGGUAACCUCCCCAGUAGAGGGGAUACCAUUUGGAAACAGGUGCUAAACCGAUACUGAUGGAUGGACCCGCGGUGCAUUAGCUAGUUGGUGGGGUAACGGCUCACCAAGGCCACGAUGCAUAGCGGACCUGAGAGGGUGAUCGGCCACACUGGAACUGAGACACGGCCCAGACUCCUACGGGAGGCAGCAGUGGGGAAUCUUCGGCAAUGGACGAAAGUCUGACCGAGCAACGCCGCGUGAGUGAAGAAGGUUUUCGGAUCGUAAAACUCUGUUGUUAGAGAAGCGGUAUCUAACCAGAAAGCCCCGGCUAACUACGUGCCAGCAGCCGCGGUAAUUC
rnacentral:rRNA from 1 species